AGGCGUGGUGGCGGGCGCCUGUGAUCCCAGCUACUUGGGAGGCUGAGGCAGGAGAAUCGCUUGAACCCCAGAGGCAGAGGUUGCAGUGAGC
rnacentral:miRNA from 1 species